ACAAAGGCUCUUUUCAGAGCCAUUCUACACUCUUAGAGAAAGCUGG
rfam:Pan troglodytes isolate Yerkes chimp pedigree #C0471 (Clint) chromosome 6, whole genome shotgun sequence.